rnacentral:misc_RNA from 1 species
GGCUGAGUGGGCUAUGCAAUGGAAGAGAAAAGGAUUGCUUGAAAAGAUCAUUGACCCUCUACUUGUAGGCACAAUCAAUCCUGAAUCAAUGAAGAAAUUUGCUGAGGCUGCAGAGAAGUGCCUGGCUGAACAUGGAGUUGACAGGCCUUCAAUGGGAGAUGUUCUCUGGAACUUGGAGUAUGCCUUACAACUUCAGGAAGCCUUCUCACAAGGGAAAGGUGAGGAUGAAACUAAAUCAUCCACAGGUGUAGCAGCCUCCCCUGUUGUAGUAACUCCAAGUCCUGUUACUCCCACUACUGAUGAUCGUCCUGUUUCUGUACCUGAUGAAAACAAUAGCCCUGCUGAAGUUAGGGCCAUUAAUGAACAUUCAGGAACUGCAAUGUUU